rnacentral:rRNA from 1 species
CCUACGGGUGGCAGCAGUGGGGAAUAUUGGACAAUGGGCGCAAGCCUGAUCCAGCAAUGCCGCGUGAGUGAAGAAGGCCUUCGGGUUGUAAAGCUCUUUUACCCGGGAAGAUAAUGACUGUACCGGGAGAAUAAGCCCCGGCUAACUCCGUGCCAGCAGCCGCGGUAAUACGGAGGGGGCUAGCGUUGUUCGGAAUUACUGGGCGUAAAGCGCACGUAGGCGGCUUGGUAAGUUAGAGGUGAAAGCCUGGAGCUCAACUCCAGAAUUGCCUUUAAGACUGCUUGGCUUGAACACGGGAGAGGUGAGUGGAAUUCCGAGUGUAGAGGUGAAAUUCGUAGAUAUUCGGAAGAACACCAGUGGCGAAGGCGGCUCACUGGACCGUUGUUGACGCUGAGGUGCGAAAGCGUGGGGAGCAAACAGGAUUAGAUACCCUUGUAGUC